rnacentral:rRNA from 1 species
GGAAAAAGAAACCAACAGGGAUUGCCUUAGUAACGGCGAGUGAAGCGGCAAAAGCUCAAAUUUGAAAUCUGGCACCUUCGGUGUCCGAGUUGUAAUUUGAAGAAGGUAACUUUGGAGUUGGCUCUUGUCUAUGUUCCUUGGAACAGGACGUCACAGAGGGUGAGAAUCCCGUGCGAUGAGAUGCCCAAUUCUAUGUAAAGUGCUUUCGAAGAGUCGAGUUGUUUGGGAAUGCAGCUCUAAGUGGGUGGUAAAUUCCAUCUAAAGCUAAAUAUUGGCGAGAGACCGAUAGCGAACAAGUACAGUGAUGGAAAGAUGAAAAGAACUUUGAAAAGAGAGUGAAAAAGUACGUGAAAUUGUUGAAAGGGAAGGGCUUGAGAUCAGACUUGGUAUUUUGCGAUCCUUUCCUUCUUGGUUGGGUUCCUCGCAGCUUACUGGGCCAGCAUCGGUUUGGAUGGUAGGAUAAUGACUAAGGAAUGUGGCUCUACUUC